GAGUUUGGACAAUGGUGGAACACCUGAUCCAGCCAUACCGCGUGGAGGAUGAAGGCGUUCGGGUUGUAGAGUACUUCUUGCAGAGGAGAAGAUGUAUCACCUAAUACGAGAUACUGCUGACGGUAGCUGCAGAAUAAGCACCGGCGAACUACGAUGCAGCAGCCGCGGGAAUACGUAGGGUGAAAGCGUUAAUCGCCAUUGCUGGUCGCAAAGCGUGUGUAGGCGGUUCGGAAAGAAAGAUGUGACACCCCAUGGCUCAACCUUGGAACUGCUUUUUUAACUGCCGAGCUAGAGUAUGUCAGAGGGGGGUAGAAUUCCACGUGUAGCAGUGAAAUGCGUAGAUAUGUGGAGGAAUACCGAUGGCGAAGGCAGCCCCCUGGGAUAAUACUGGCGCUCAGACACGAAAGCGUGGGGAGCAAACA
rnacentral:rRNA from 1 species